CGCUGGCGGCGUGCCUAAUACAUGCAAGUAGAACGCUGAAGGAGGAGCUUGCUUCUCUGGAUGAGUUGCGAACGGGUGAGUAACGCGUAGGUAACCUGCCUGGUAGCGGGGGAUAACUAUUGGAAACGAUAGCUAAUACCGCAUAAGAGUAGAUGUUGCAUGACAUUUACUUAAAAGGUGCAAUUGCAUCACUACCAGAUGGACCUGCGUUGUAUUAGCUAGUUGGUGGGGUAACGGCUCACCAAGGCGACGAUACAUAGCCGACCUGAGAGGGUGAUCGGCCACACUGGGACUGAGACACGGCCCAGACUCCUACGGGAGGCAGCAGUAGGGAAUCUUCGGCAAUGGACGGAAGUCUGACCGAGCAACGCCGCGUGAGUGAAGAAGGUUUUCGGAUCGUAAAGCUCUGUUGUAAGAGAAGAACGAGUGUGAGAGUGGAAAGUUCACACUGUGACGGU
rnacentral:rRNA from 1 species